rnacentral:rRNA from 1 species
AUAUUGCACAAUGGGCGCAAGCCUGAUGCAGCGACGCCGCGUGAGGGAUGACGGCCUUCGGGUUGUAAACCUCUUUCAGUAGGGAAGAAGCGUAAGUGACGGUACCUGCAGAAGAAGCGCCGGCUAACUACGUGCCAGCAGCCGCGGUAAUACGUAGGGGGCAAGCGUUGUCCGGAUUUAUUGGGCGUAAAGCGCUCGCAGGUGGUCCGAUGCGUCGUGCGUGAAAGACCCCGGCUCAACUGGGGAGGGUCGUGCGAUACGGUCGGACUGGAGGCCAGUAGGGGGAUGCGGAAUUCCGGGUGUAGUGGUGGAAUGCGUAGAGAUCCGGAGGAACACCAGCGGCGAAGGCGGCAUCCUGGACUGGUCCUGACACUCAUGAGCGAAAGCGUGGGGAGCGAUC